GUAGUUGUGGCUGAGUGGUUAAGGCAGUGGACUUGAAAUCAAGUGGGGUUGUCCUGCGCAGGUUCAAAUCCUGUCAACUACA